UACUGUAAAUGAUGAUUGUUUAAAAAAUAACAUUGGGAAUCUCUCUGAAAAAUAAUGAAAUAAAUAUUUUUACUGAUGCAGUG
ensembl:snoRNA SNORD79 Small nucleolar RNA SNORD79